rnacentral:lncRNA from 1 species
GGACAGUGAUAGGAAACCCAUCACUGUCCUCCAAGCGUUUGGAGUGAGUUGCGCCGGGACCAACUGGCAUACCGCCAGCAACUCAUUCACAAAGCUGUGAAGAGGAAAUCGGAGGCCGGCCCAGAGUGACUCCGAGUGCACUCCGAUCCGGCCUACCGGAGGAUCGGUUACCCGAUCCCUUCGCCUGGCGGGUUCCAAAUGGAACCCGUGAAGAGGGAAAAACCACUCUUCAGUCAUCUCGACCUCCAGGACACUCAUGGUGGAUACUACUUCGCUAGGCAAAGAACCCAUUACAAGAGAGGGAAAUCAAAAAGAAGGGGGACCUGGGAAAGAUGCCGGAGAAAAGGGACUUCGGUCUGAGGAAGACUGGGAGAAUAGGAAGCUGGAAGCAGAAGGCAAUAGAAACAGGACAGGGGGCCGGGGGAGAGUUUAUAUAGACCUCCCCAAUGACCCGGAUCAGCGAAGAAAGCGCUGCGUCCUGGUUAGAUGAUAACACGUGUCGGCCUAAAAGACAAAACGACACAUUUAAUUAGGGCUAGCGCUUCGAAUGUCGAAGCGCCCCAUCGGAUCGUGCGGAAAGGCAUCCGCAAUCGAAGAUCGUGCGGCCCCAUCAUGAGCCCACGACGCGAGGACGCUUCGCAAAAGGUGUCCCAAUAAUGAGGUUCUUCGGAAAAGAAGAGACACCGCCUAUUAAAGGCACCUCGAAGCGUUCGAUAACUCAAAACGCACAGUAAAUCAAAAUUUUCGGAAUUCGUGAUGACCCAAUUAAAGCUACUUCCCGCGCUCCAGCUGAUAGCCAACUGGAGCUCGGAAGUCGGGGGGUAGUGUUAGGGGAAAAACCCUAAGUCAUA